rnacentral:rRNA from 1 species
UACGGGGGCAAGCGUUGUUCGGAAUUACUGGGCGUAAAGGCUCGUAGGCGGCCAACUAAGUCAGACGUGAAAUCCCCGGCUUAACCAGGGAACUGCGUCUGAUACUGGAUGGCUUGAGUUUGGGAGAGGGUAGUGGAAUUCCCGGUGUAGUGGUGAAAUGCGCAGAUAUCAGGAGGAACACCGGUGGCGAAGGCGGCGACCUGGGUAGAUACUGACGCUGAGGCGCGAAAGCGUGGGGAGCAAACAGG